rnacentral:rRNA from 1 species
GACGAACGCUGGCGGCGUGCUUAACACAUGCAAGUCGAACGGAAAGGCCCUGCUUUUGUGGGGUGCUCGAGUGGCGAACGGGUGAGUAACACGUGAGUAACCUGCCCUUGACUUUGGGAUAACUUCAGGAAACUGGGGCUAAUACCGGAUAGGAGCUCCUGCUGCAUGGUGGGGGUUGGAAAGUUUCGGCGGUUGGGGAUGGACUCGCGGCUUAUCAGCUUGUUGGUGGGGUAGUGGCUUACCAAGGCUUUGACGGGUAGCCGGCCUGAGAGGGUGACCGGCCACAUUGGGACUGAGAUACGGCCCAGACUCCCAUGGGAGGCAGCAGUGGGGAAUAUUGCACAAUGGGCGGAAGCCUGAUGCAGCAACGCCGCGUGCGGGAUGACGGCCUUCGGGUUGUAAACCGCUUUCGCCUGUGACGAAGCGUGAGUGACGGUAAUGGGUAAAGAAGCACCGGCUAACUACGUGCCAGCCGCCGCGGUAA